UACGUAGGGGGCAAGCGUUGUCCGGAUUUAUUGGGCGUAAAGAGCGUGUAGGCGGCCAUUCAGGUCAGCUGUGAAAACUCGAGGCUCAACCUCGAGACGUCGGUUGAAACCGUUUGGCUAGAGUCCGGAAGAGGAGAGUGGAAUUCCCGGUGUAGCGGUGAAAUGCGCAGAUAUCGGGAAGAACACCCGUGGCGAAGGCGGCUCUCUGGGACGGUACUGACGCUGAGGAGCGAAAGCGUGGGGAGCGAACAGG
rnacentral:rRNA from 1 species